AUUGAACGCUGGCGGCAGGCUUAACACAUGCAAGUCGAGCGGUAGCACAGGGGAGCUUGCUCCCUGGGUGACGAGCGGAGGACGGGUGAGUAAUGUCUGGGAAACUGCCUGAUGGAGGGGGAUAACUACUGGAAACGGUAGCUAAUACCGCAUAACGUCGCAAGACCAAAGAGGGGGACCUUCGGGCCUCUUGCCAUCAGAUGGGCCCAGAUGGGAUUAGCUAGUAGGUGGGGUAAUGGCUCACCUAGGCGACGAUCCCUAGCUGGUCUGAGAGGAUGACCAGCCACACUGGAACUGAGACACGGUCCAGACUCCUACGGGAGGCAGCAGUGGGGAAUAUUGCACAAUGGGCGCAAGCCUGAUGCAGCCAUGCCGUGUGUGUGAAGAAGGCCUUCGGGUUGUAAAGCACUUUCAGCGAGGAGGAAGGUGGUGAGCUUAAUACGUUCAUCAAUUGACGUUACUCGCAGAAGAAGCACCGGCUAACUCCGUG
rnacentral:rRNA from 1 species